CCUACGGGAGGCAGCAGUGAGGAAUAUUGGUCAAUGGACGCAAGUCUGAACCAGCCAUGCCGCGUGCAGGAAGACGGCUCUAUGAGUUGUAAACUGCUUUUGUACGAGGGUAAACGCAGAUACGCGUAUCUGUCUGAAAGUAUCGUACGAAUAAGGAUCGGCUAACUCCGUGCCAGCAGCCGCGGUAAUACGGAGGAUUCAAGCGUUAUCCGGAUUUAUUGGGUUUAAAGGGUGCGUAGGCGGUCGGAUAAGUUAGAGGUGAAAUCCCGAGGCUCAACUUCGGCAUUGCCUCUGAUACUGUUCGGCUAGAGAGUAGUUGCGGUAGGCGGAAUGUAUGGUGUAGCGGUGAAAUGCUUAGAGAUCAGACAGAACACCGAUUGCGAAGGCAGCUUACCAAGGUACUUCUGACGUUGAGGCACGAAAGCGUGGGUAGCAAACAGGAUUAGAUACCCGGGUAGUC
rnacentral:rRNA from 1 species